AUGAGCUGCAGAACUCGGUCUGCGAGGCCGGAGGCUAAGGGCAGGGAGCUCGGGGAUCGCGUCCCAGACGGGAGUCUCGCGGGCUCCGGGACCAGGUCCCAGGCGCAGACGGAGGGGGUCCUUGAGCUCCCAGAGGCCCGCAAGGCGCGCACCCACCUUCGCCGCCGCGACGCGCCUCCCGGCGCCCGGCGGGGAGAUACUUACAGCCAGCUUAGCCGGCAACCAGCGCCGCGCGUUGCCUGGCAACGAUGCGUGCCAGCAGGCUUCCGGCGUGCUUUAAGUGUCGUCAGCACGCCACCGUGUGGCGUGGCCAACAGCGCCCCGCCCAUGCCCAUCCUCUCCCGACUACCACUUAUCUUGCUGCGGACGGGAGGAUGCUGGCAGCUCUGCAGUGGGUCCCAGCCUGCUAUCGUGACUGGUCUUUCUGCCUCCCCCGCCCUACAAAUAUCGGUGGGAGCAGUUCUCUUUUUAUUAUGGCGCCCAGUGCCUCUGUGUCCGAUAUGUCCCUUGCAGUCGCAUACCUGGCCCUGGAGUAAGGCCACUGCCACGGUACUGGCCCCUCAUCCCACACCCUCCGGCCCUGGUUCCUUGCUCUCCUAUUGGAUGCUUUCUCAAGUCUGGAAGCUAUGGGGAAAACUCUGUCUACCUGAUUUAGUUCACUUCCAGAUCACAUUCCCUUCUGCAAGAAUGUGCGUCUACUGCCUGCAGAGUAGGAGAGCCACUGUCCUGCCUCGUGUGCUCACAGUCUGGGCCUGGUCACCAGCCGGACCCAAGGCGGAGCAGGGAGAACUACUGGAAAAUUUGAUUUAAAAGUGACAAGAUGAGAUCAUUCGCUGCAUCUUGGACCACAGCCUUCCCCAUUCCCCUGGGCAGACGAGCCUGGCACUGUUCACUGAGGCUUGCGGGCAGAGAGCUCAGGACCAUGGCUUGGCGCAGCUAUUCCCAGCUUUCCCAGUGGCCCGGUAGGAUGGUGCAGACACUGUCUGUGUUUACAGACACUGGCUUGUUUGCCUCACUCUGACCCAGCAGGUCCUGCUCUCGGUCCGUUCCCAAGGCUCCAGUUCCCCUCACCUGCUGCCCUUGCUGACUUUGACGUCUGGGGAACUGGAAGGACAGGAAAACUGAGGCCUGGGCCCACAGUGGGACACACAGUGGCAAAGGACUGGGGCUGCAGCGGGUCUUCCCACCUUUAGUGUCUCCCCAUGUCUGUCUCGCUUUCAGCUCUGAAGCAAGACUUCCAGAACGAUCCCAGUUCUUGUGAGUCCACGUUGGGGUGAUCUGUGUGACCAUUGAGCUGAAUGAUGGUCCCCAAAGAUAUCCACGUCAUAAAAUCCAGAAGCCAUGAAUAUGAGACCUUAAAAAAUGGAGGGGUGUCCUGUAUGAAACUAAAGAGGUGAGAAAGCUGGGUGUGGUGGCACAGGCCUGGCACACCAGCCCUGGAAAAGAUGAGGCAGGAGGAUCAAAAGUUAGAGGCCAGCCUAAGCUACAUGGCGAGUCUGAGACUAGCCUGGACUAAAUGGUGAGACCCUGUCUAGAAGGAGGGAAGACAAGAGAGACGGGUGGAGAGAGGUGUGUGAAGACCCUAACAGUGUCCCCAAGACUCAGGGCAGCAACCCUGCCAGCAUCCCGGAUAGGCAGAGUGAGCGCAUGUCAUUCUAGCCCAGUCUGUGAUAUUUUUUCA
ensembl:lncRNA